ensembl:snRNA U6 U6 spliceosomal RNA
GUGCUCACUUUGGCAGCACAUAUACUAAAAAUUGGAACAUACAGAGAAGAUUAGUAUGGCCCCUGCGCAAGGAUGACACACAAAUUCAUGAAGCAUUCCUAUUUUUG